rnacentral:tRNA from 1 species
GUCAGCGGGGGUUUAUUGGUUAAUCAAGGGUUUCUGGAAGUUUAAGUACUUUAGGCAGAGGUCUGCAAAACCUCCAUCCAGCGGUUCAAAUCCGCUUGCCGCCU